GAUGGACGCUGGCGGCGUGCCUAAUACAUGCAAGUCGAGCGAACAGACGAGGAGCUUGCUCCUCUGACGUUAGCGGCGGACGGGUGAGUAACACGUGGAUAACCUACCUAUAAGACUGGGAUAACUUCGGGAAACCGGAGCUAAUACCGGAUAAUAUAUUGAACCGCAUGGUUUAAUAGUGAAAGACGGUUUUGCUGUCACUUAUAGAUGGAUCCGCGCCGCAUUAGCUAGUUGGUAAGGUAACGGCUUACCAAGGCAACGAUGCGUAGCCGACCUGAGAGGGUGAUCGGCCACACUGGAACUGAGACACGGUCCAGACUCCUACGGGAGGCAGCAGUAGGGAAUCUUCCGCAAUGGGCGAAAGCCUGACGGAGCAACGCCGCGUGAGUGAUGAAGGUCUUCGGAUCGUAAAACUCUGUUAUUAGGGAAGAACAAAUGUGUAAGUAACUAUGCACGUCUUGACGGCACCUAAUCAGAAAGCCACGGCUAACUACGUG
rnacentral:rRNA from 1 species